rnacentral:rRNA from 1 species
UACGUAGGCAGCGAGCGUUGUUCGGAAUUACUGGGCGUAAAGAGUGUGUAGGCGGGUUUUUAAGUCAGGGGUGAAAUCCCGAGGCUCAACCUCGGAACUGCCUUUGAUACUGGAAAUCUUGAGUCUGGGAGAGGUGAGUGGAACUGCGAGUGUAGAGGUGAAAUUCGUAGAUAUUCGCAAGAACACCGGUGGCGAAGGCGGCUCACUGGCCCGGAACUGACGCUGAGGCACGAAAGCGUGGGGAGCAAACAGG